UGCUAAUUGUAAAGAAGCUUGGAGUCAUAAUAUAUUUAAACGUUAUAUGUUUGCUGUUCUUCAUCUUUUUAAAUAUGAAGUCUAUACAUGUUUGUGUUUACAGAGGUCAUGUACACUGUGGUCAACUUUGUGGACGAUGAAGAGGUUUCUGGGUAAAGCUGAUAGAAAUAUAAUGAAGUAACAGUGAAAGCUAAAACAUCAGACUGAUCCAGACACUGAAGAAAUUGAUGUCACUGCAAUCUGGCCAAAAUGAUACAACUAUAUUGAAGUAACCUACUGUAAUGAAGCUGCAGAACAACAAAGAGACUCUGAGGACAUCAACACAGAAAAUUAAGGCUCCAAAGAGAUGUCUGUCCAGAUGAGGGUGCAUCAACGUUACCUUUGCUGACAAGUAUAUGCUUUACAAUGUAAAACCUAACAGUUAACUUAACUCAAACCAUUUAAGGAAAUCGGUUGCCUUAACCCAUUAAGUUUAAAAAAAAAAACAUACAUUUGAGUACUGUGAACUUAAGUCUUGUGCAAUAAUGCACUUAUAUUUAGUUAGUGUGAACUUAAAUAUAAGUGCAUAACUGCAUGUGACUCAAUUUGUUUAAGUUCACAGUACUCAAAUCUAUGUGUUUUAAAACUUAAAUGGUUUAAUGCAACCGGUUUUCUUAAAUGGUUUGAGUUUAGUUAACUUUUAGGUUUUACAGUGAGAAAUUCUUGAAUAAUUCCAAGACAGAGCUCUGCAAUUGUAUCUACACUGCAAAAAAAUCAGUUUCUAACUUAGGAUUUUUAUCUUGUUUU